rnacentral:rRNA from 1 species
GAUGAACGCUGGCGGCGUGCCUAAUACAUGCAAGUCGAGCGAACGGACGAGAAGCUUGCUUCUCUGAUGUUAGCGGCGGACGGGUGAGUAACACGUGGAUAACCUACCUAUAAGACUGGGAUAACUUCGGGAAACCGGAGCUAAUACCGGAUAAUAUUUUGAACCGCAUGGUUCAAAAGUGAAAGACGGUCUUGCUGUCACUUAUAGAUGGAUCCGCGCUGCAUUAGCUAGUUGGUAAGGUAACGGCUUACCAAGGCAACGAUGCAUAGCCGACCUGAGAGGGUGAUCGGCCACACUGGAACUGAGACACGGUCCAGACUCCUACGGGAGGCAGCAGUAGGGAAUCUUCCGCAAUGGGCGAAAGCCUGACGGAGCAACGCCGCGUGAGUGAUGAAGGUCUUCGGAUCGUAAAACUCUGUUAUUAGGGAAGAACAUAUGUGUAAGUAACUGUGCACAUCUUGACGGUACCUAAUCAGAAAGCCACGGCUAACUACGUGCCAGCAGCCGCGGUAAUACGUAGGUGGCAAGCGUUAUCCGGAAUUAUUGGGCGUAAAGCGCGCGUAGGCGGUUUUUUAAGUCUGAUGUGAAAGCCCACGGCUCAACCGUGGAGGGUCAUUGGAAGCUGGAAAACUUGAGUGCAGAAGAGGAAAGUGGAAUUCCAUGUGUAGCGGUGAAAUGCGCAGAGAUAUGGAGGAACACCAGUGGCGAAGGCGACUUUCUGGUCUGUAACUGACGCUGAUGUGCGAAAGCGUGGGGAUCAAACAGGAUUAGAUACCCUGGUAGUCCACGCCGUAAACGAUGAGUGCUAAGUGUUAGGGGGUUUCCGCCCCUUAGUGCUGCAGCUAACGCAUUAAGCACUCCGCCUGGGGAGUACGACCGCAAGGUUGAAACUCAAAGGAAUUGACGGGGACCCGCACAAGCGGUGGAGCAUGUGGUUUAAUUCGAAGCAACGCGAAGAACCUUACCAAAUCUUGACAUCCUUUGACAACUCUAGAGAUAGAGCUUUCCCCUUCGGGGGACAAAGUGACAGGUGGUGCAUGGUUGUCGUCAGCUCGUGUCGUGAGAUGUUGGGUUAAGUCCCGCAACGAGCGCAACCCUUAAGCUUAGUUGCCAUCAUUAAGUUGGGCACUCUAAGUUGACUGCCGGUGACAAACCGGAGGAAGGUGGGGAUGACGUCAAAUCAUCAUGCCCCUUAUGAUUUGGGCUACACACGUGCUACAAUGGACAAUACAAAGGGCAGCGAAACCGCGAGGUCAAGCAAAUCCCAUAAAGUUGUUCUCAGUUCGGAUUGUAGUCUGCAACUCGACUACAUGAAGCUGGAAUCGCUAGUAAUCGUAGAUCAGCAUGCUACGGUGAAUACGUUCCCGGGUCU